rnacentral:misc_RNA from 1 species
GAAAUGCGAUAAGUAGUGUGAAUUGCAGAAUUCAGUGAAUCAUCGAAUCUUUGAACCCACAUUGCGCCCUUUGGUAUUCCAAAGGGCAUGCCUGUUCGAGCGUCAUUUGUACCCUCAAGCUUUGCUUGGUGUUGGGCGUCUUGUCUCUAGCUUUGCUGGAGACUCGCCUUAAAGUAAUUGGCAGCCGGCCUACUGGUUUCGGAGCGCAGCACAAGUCGCACUCUCUAUCAGCAAAGGUCUAGCAUCCAUUAAGCCUUUUUUUCAACUUUUGACCUCGGAUCAGGUAGGGAUACCCGCUGAACUUAAGC